UAUUCUAAUAGCUUAUAAAGAGCAUUACACUGAAGAUGUAAAGGAAAUAUUAAUAUUUUAGGAUAU
rnacentral:tRNA from 1 species